UCCGGACCUGACUGCUAUCGGAUUGAUACUAAGCCAUGUGAGUCAUUGUAGCAAUACAAGGCAGACGGCUCAGUAACGCGUAGUCAACCUACCCUAUGGACGGGAAUAAACUCGGGAAACUGAGUAUAAUGCCCGAUAGAACAUUAUGCCUGGAAUGGUUUAUGUUUCAAAUGAUUUAUCGCCGUAGGAUGGGACUGCGGCCUAUCAGUUUGUUGGUGAGGUAAUGGCCCACCAAGACUAUUACAGGUACGGGCUCUGAGAGGAGUGGCCCGGAGAUGGGUACUGAGACACGGACCCAGGCCCUAUGGGGCGCAGCAGGCGAGAAAACUUUGCAAUGUGCGAAAGCACGACAAGGUUAAUCCGAGUGGUUUCUGCUAAAGGAACCUUUUGUCAGUCCUAGAAACACUGGUGAAUAAGGGGUGGGCAAGUUCUGGUGU
rnacentral:rRNA from 1 species